UACGUAGGCAGCAAGCGUUGUUCGGAGUUACUGGGCGUAAAGAGUGCGUAGGCGGUCCUGUAAGUUUGGUGUGAAAUCUCCCGGCUCAACUGGGAGGGUGCGCCGAAGACUGCAGGGCUUGAGUAUGGGAGAGGUAAGCGGAAUUCCUGGUGUAGCGGUGAAAUGCGCAGAUAUCAGGAAGAACACCCGUGGCGAAAGCGGCUCUCUGGGACGGUACUGACGCUGAGACGCGAAAGCGUGGGGAGCGAACAGG
rnacentral:rRNA from 1 species